AACGAACGCUGGCGGCAUGCCUAACACAUGCAAGUCGAACGAGACCUUCGGGUCUAGUGGCGCACGGGUGCGUAACGCGUGGGAACCUGCCCUUAGGUUCGGAAUAACUCCCCGAAAGGGGUGCUAAUACCGGAUAAUGUCUUCGGACCAAAGAUUUAUCGCCUUUGGAUGGGCCCGCGUUGGAUUAGCUAGUUGGUAGGGUAAAAGCCUACCAAGGCGACGAUCCAUAGCUGGUCUGAGAGGAUGAUCAGCCACACUGGGACUGAGACACGGCCCAGACUCCUACGGGAGGCAGCAGUGGGGAAUAUUGGACAAUGGGCGAAAGCCUGAUCCAGCAAUGCCGCGUGAGUGAUGAAGGCCUUAGGGUUGUAAGGCUCUUUUACCCGGGAUGAUAAUGACAGUACCGGGAGAAUAAGCGCCGGCUAACUCCGUG
rnacentral:rRNA from 1 species